UACAGAGGUCUCAAGCGUUGUUCGGAUUCAUUGGGCGUAAAGGGUGCGUAGGCGGCGCGGUAAGUCGGGUGUGAAAUCUCGGAGCUUAACUCCGAAACUGCAUUCGAUACUGCCGUGCUUGAGGACUGGAGAGGAGGCUGGAAUUUACGGUGUAGCGGUGAAAUGCGUAGAUAUCGUAAGGAAGACCUGUGGCGAAGGCGGGUCUCUGGACAGUUCCUGACGCUGAGGCACGAAGGUCAGGGGAGCAAACGGG
rnacentral:rRNA from 1 species